rnacentral:rRNA from 1 species
AUGCACGGCACGGCACCGAUCCUGCGCCAUGUAGUCCGAACCGGAAUGCUAACGAGCAGUGUUUUUCCAAAGCAUCAGGAUGAUGCGAGCACUACUUGGCCUUUGCACAAGGACACUGUCAAGGAAGCGUUACAGAAAGCGAAAAGGAAAAAGAAAAACAUGGCAUCCUAUAGUUAUGCGGAGAACAUGGGCAAGAAGCACCUGCCUUCAGACAUUGUUGGCUUGCAGCCGCGGGUAUCCUUGCUUCAAGUCAGGUCCAGGAACUCUGUGCGUGCAGACCAAGGCAGAAUGGCAGCCUCAGUCAUCCAGCUCGACUUUGCUACAGGAAAAAGGAACAAAUGGCUGAAUCAUCUUGGUAGAAACAAAAGUAGAAAACUGCUACAUAGACACUACAUUGUACAGACUGAAUCAUAUACUGCUCAAAGUGUUGUAUGGACUGACAAAAAAACAAAGAUCACUCCGACCAUUCACAAAAACAAAGAAAGAGGUGGAUGCCAUCCUGAUAUUGUCGCUAAUUUAGAGCUUCAAAGCUCAUCGAGAAUGCAUGCUUAUUGUUUCGCUAAUUAA